GUUCAGGUUACCAGAGCAAUCUUCAACAGCGCCUCGGAGGCAGGCUCUCUUGGUUUGUUUCUUUCCUGCUACGCUCUCGCUCUCCCCUGAUGGGUUUUGUUUUUGCUUCUCGUGUGCCACCGAUUAUUCGAGAUACAUUUUUUUCCGCACCGCGUCUUCCGUUUCUCGCUCUCGCCCCGUCGGCCUGCUCAUUGUCCUGCCUGCAGGACGAUGUGUGCUGGCCCCUUCCUUCGCCUGCUCUCUUGUGCGUGCGCUGCUACUUCUAUACCGGUGGGCGGGCUCACACGGCUGCCGACUCCCCUCGAGCCUUCCUCUUUUCCCAUCAUCCUCGGCUGAGGCGAUCCGUGCGUACUUGGGCGGUCCUGCCUCGCAUUUCUUAGAACGUCACCUCUACAAAAUGGGGCGACGCAAGCGUGUAGCGCCCAUGGAAACUGCGGAGAUGCGGCGGCACCAGAGCGAGGACGGACGAAGAGGAUCCAUGAGCGCGUGCAGCACAAGUCGCAGCAAUAAGACGAACAGUAGCAUCCAUGCACCAGGCGGUGGUGGUGGUGGUGACCACCUCUCCCACAGAGGUUUUUUCGCCGUGCUGGGGGGCGACCCGGCUCGCGAGCGCACUAGCAAGCACCUCAGUCGCAACCAGUCCAGGAGCGGGCCCUCUUUCCGUCGUCCUUCUCAGCAGCAAGGUGUUGGCGGCGGCCUGCUUCCCAACAGCGGCUUGAGCGUCACUCCGCCCUCGCAGAAGCGUCAGUCUCAACCGUCACAGCAGCCCUACCCUUGUGCACCACAGCGAGAACAGAAACCGUACCCACAGGGCAUAGGGUUUCCCUCUUCGGCGCACCCGAUGAACCCCAGCAACGACCAAACGUGUGACAGUGAUGGCAGUGCACGUCACCACUACAGUGGCUCGAUCCAGCCCGGCGAGUUUUCAGGAAAUCCCUUCGUUGCGCGCCGCAGUAGCCGACUGCUCUUUGCUGCAGGCGGCGCGGCUCAGGAGCCUCAGCAGCAGUACGCUCCUUGUCCGUCAUCUCCAAGGUAUGACAGGAAUUCGAGCAGGCCCACACAAAACGCUCAGGCGCAGCCGUACCCGCCGUACUGCGGCAGCCCUUCGUUUCCGCCGCCGCAGCUCACCAAUGCUCGCCAUCUAGCACCGCUUCCCUACGUAAUGACUCCUCAAGGUAUGAUGGCGCCGCCACUUCUGUAUCUGCUCCCCAUGCACAGCUGUCCCCCCAUGCCCAACAUGCUACCGCAGCAGCAGCAGCAAGCACACUGCUGUGAGAUCCCAGACACGAGCAACGGAGCGGCACCCUCGCAGUACAACGCGAUGAACGGUAACGUGAUGCCUGCUUCACCGCAGGCUCCGUGGGGCUGGCAGCAGCAUGUUCUGCUUGAUCGGCCACAAGCGGUGUCGCCACAGCCAACGCUGGUGAGAUAUCCGUCGUUCCUGGCGGAGAAGAACACUGCGACUAGCGUGGUCCCCACCGCCGCGCCGCCGGCCGCAGCUGAUCCACAAGCAGCGACAAGAGCAGCUGGCGGCAUUCUCUUGCCCCGCACGCAGAGCAUUCUGAAUCGCGUCUCAAGCUUCAAGAAGGCACCGCAGCCUGCGUCAAAGGGCGAUCAGGCGCGUCAGCAAGAGGCCGACAUGCAGCAGCGACUCUGUGCGCGGGAACAGGAGCGACGUCGAUUGGAGCAGGAGAUGCAGGCCCGGGAGGCGGCCAAUAAAGCUGCGCGAGAUCAGCGGCUGCGUGAGCUAUUGCAGCGCCAAGCGUCUCGCAACUUCGCACAGGAGUCAACUACAAAUGCGGCUCCGCGCGUGCCGAUGGAGUCGCCGAAGUCGAGUUGCCUCAGUAACGCUAGCGCCUCGGAGAGUCGCCCAGCGCUUCCAUCCGAACCCGUGCUCGCUCUAAAGCAGGCGUCUCCUGUUCGUUCACCGUCGACUCCUCCGACAACCGACGCACCAGUGCCCCCUCAAGAGCCACGGAAUCAGCAGCUGCCCAUGUCGGUUGCCAGCUUGCACAGCCCCGCCGGAUCACAAGCCAGCAGGGGGAGCCUCGGCAUCACUGCGUCGAGGAGUGGGGAGGCAGCCGUGAUAGCGAAGGGUAAAGGCCCUUCUGGAGGCGCUGGCACUAUCACUGCUGUGGAUGCACCGGCUGCACCAGCGGCGGGGACGCAGCAGCUCUGGCACCGCUCCCCAUCCCUCGUCCUGUACGAGAUUCCGCUGCGCUGCGCCAAGAUGGUGACCGGGAAGGGCGAGGAGCAGAUCGACUGCUCGACGUUCCCGGUGCGGCUCGUUGGCAGCACGCUGCGCGUCAUCGAUGAGGUGAAACAGACAACGACGGAGUAUGCCAUAGACGAGAUUGCCACACAUCGACAGGGCUCGACAUUUGUAGAGUCAAGGCUUCUCCAGAAAGUCGGCGAGGUGCUGGUCGCUGGCUACAGUGCGUCCGUGCUGAGCCUCGACUCGCAGGGACUUGCCAAGCCCCUUGCCGCCUUCGACAGUGCUGCGUGGCUUGCUAAACGGCGCCUGCUCAGGAACGUGAUAAGUACGGUGAAGAACAUGCAGUCUACGUACAGCAAGCAGGUUGGCAACCGAGACUUCUUCGAGGCAGCUUUUUCCUUCGCACUUGUCAAGAAUGUGUCGGGACAGAAGGCAGCUGAGUGGAAAACGACGAACCCUGCUACCACACAGCGAGGGUACGAGGUGGUAGACCUUCUUCAGACCGAGCCAAGGGCUGUCCAGCUCAAGAUGCAUAGCUGCGUCCUGUUUGGCCACCGCAUCGGCGGUGUCGAGUACCGCGCACUGCGCAGCGAAUCAGAGUUCACGAAGGCGCUGGCGAGUGCGCAGGCGAACGCCAACAUCGUGCUGGGCCGCCUGGCCGACGCCGUCGCCGCUGACCCAAACAACGAGGCAACGGCUAGGGAACAGGCAUCUGUCCUUCAGGUGGUAACGUGUGUGCUGACGCACCGCAAGGCUGGCGCCGUGUCGCUGGAGGAGCAGAUGGCGGAGCCUGCCGAGGCGGUGUACAAGCGAGAAGCGGAGAGCGACGUCAUCUCGUCGGAUGACGAAGAUGACGCGAAUGUGCUAGGGGCGUUCCAGUCGCACAAUGUACCGUCUGCCUGCAGCGACAUAAUUAUGAACUGCCUCACCUGCAUCGGUUCUCAGCAGAGCCACCACCUGUGGACCGCUGCAUUGGCGCACGACCAGGGCACGGCGCCCACUUCCCUCUUUGAAUCCGCCUUUGGCGGUCCGGCGUACACGGUGAUUCUCGCCAGUAUGGACCCCACAAAGGUCGAGUCUGCCGCGACACUUGCCACGCAGUCCGCGAUGUCCAUGAAACUGCACCGCCGCCCCCUUAACGGGUCUGCGCGCCGCCUUAUCCGAACCUCCAAGUACAUGACGGCGGCCUUACAGAAGAAAUUGAACAGUGCAAACUGCCCAUCUGGCCCUCAGCAGUGCAACUUAAAGGCUGACAUUUGCAAGUAUGCUGAGGCACUAGACUCGCUCCGUAAAGUGCUGGGCACCAUCGAAGCACGUCGCUUCAGCGUAUCCGGUUCCGCGUAGUGGGGCCGGGCUCUUCAGCCCAUCAAGACGCACACGCACGAAAGCGGGUGGGGGCCGGGAUGCGCACGCACGCACAUGUGAGGUCGAAGAGUCACUCCUUUUGGAAUCAAGGUGGACGCAGCGAUGUGCCGGCAGCACGGCGGGGUGUUUUUUUUUUCGCUUUAGUGCUUGACUGCCGCCUUGGGCAUCGGUGUCUCUCACAUUUCUUCUCUUGGUUUAUUCUUUUGUUCGUCUUUGGCUGCCUGCCAUCAUUUCGGUGCGUGCGUGCUGGAGGCUGAGAGCCACGGGUGGGGCCUCCCUCUUCCUUCCCCUCGCAUCCUCCUUCUUUUCGCCUGAGAAGGCGUCGCCUUCAUCAUUGUAUUUCUUCUUUUUUUUUUCUAUACGGGUUUUGUCCUACCGAUCGGCUUCGCUUUGGGUUGUGUGGGCGCUUCGCGUUCCCUCUCCUUCGCGUGUGUGUGUGUGUAAGUGUGCCAACUCGAGCACGUUCCUCUUCGCGUUUGGAAUGUGAACUAAAAAAAAAUAAAACCACAGAGGAAGCGGCGCACACGUCUUGUUGGUCUUCUUGACACUGCUCAUCUUUUUUUUUUCUCUAUGAUGAAAUCUGGUUUGGUGCAUCACCUCCCCCUCUCGUUCCUCUUGGCCUCUUUGGUGCACCCCUUCAAACUCUUGUGGGCUUACAAUGUGUGUGUGUGCGUGCCUGUGCAGAUCUCCGUCUUGCUCUAUGCGUGCACGUUGGUUUUUUUUUGUUGCCACAGGAGAGUCGUCUGGGUGGUGGUGGUGGCAGCGGGGCGGUGAUGGUGUUGGGAAUUUCGAUGUCUCUGCGAAUCACUUCGUCUUUCCAUUUGCUGUGCUGUGCUUGCGAGUUCUUUUGGAUUUGCUUCUCCCUCUCUCCUGCAGCGUGUGCGCGAGCGGCGGUUUGUCUGCGUCUUGAGUUCGCGGCUCAUGCCACGCGUCCACACACCUCCCCACGCUUCACACGUAAAUACACGUGUGCUUGUGGGUAUACGCGUUUGCGUGAUGUUGGCGGCUUUUCUUUUCUGUCUCUCUCUCUCUUGAUAUUUCGCUAGAUCUGUGGCGGAUUCGGUGUCGCCGAUCUUUUUUUUUUCAUUGUCCUCGCAUCUCUGUCUCUCUCUCUCCUCUGUAUUUCUCCUCUCUUGACACCCCGCAUACCUAUAUGUGAAACACACUGGCACACUCAAGACAUUUUUGCUUCUCGCUGGAGCUGGCAGUGAUAUGUGCAUAACCCUGCGCCGCCCCAGUCGCUGCAUCGCCCUUCCUGAUACCCUUUCUCGACCCCCUUCACUUGUUCAGACACACACACACACACACAGACAAUAGUGAUAUGCCCGGCAUCGCAUCUGAUCUCCCCCACCUUGUAUCCUUUUCUUUCGUUGGUAGGAGUGUCUGCGUUUUGUUAUUCUUCAUGAUUGUACGCAUUUUUCCUUUCCGUUUUUUUUUUUCGAGGCAGCGCUUCGUCUCUUAACCCUGAGCCACCGCCUCUCGUGCUAUUCCUUUCAGCCAAACGUGCAUAUAUACUUUUCUGCUCGCUCAACGCUGUCGCCCUGUGGACGAUGACCAGCACUUUCGAGGUGGAGGCUGGGGGUGGGGUGGGGUGGGGUGGGGGACGAGGGUGCAGAGGUAGCGUUGUUGAUGAUCGAUGUAGCGAAAGACGUGCACGGCGGCAUGUUUGUGAGUUUCUUUCUCUUUCGAAGUUCUUUUUUCCCCUUUCUGUUCCACGUCUGAAUCCGCUGCGUUUUCGCUUCUCUCUCUCUUUAUGUGCAUUUCAUGUGUUUAAUUUUUCCCCCGCUUGCUCGUUGGAUGGCGCGCUCCUAUGUCUGAGACCGCUUUCCCGUUCGCGUUGAAUGCGAGUCCGUGCAAGCGUGCCGUGGAACCUGCUAUCCCCCCCCCUUCUCAUCUUCCUCUGUCGUUCCCUUGCCUUUCCGCUUAUCUUCUACAG
rnacentral:misc_RNA from 1 species